rnacentral:tRNA from 1 species
AGUGAGAUGGCUUGAUGGUACAGCACUUGCUUAGCAGGCAAGAAGCUUUGGAUUCAAAUCCCAUCCCUACCA